rnacentral:rRNA from 1 species
AACGAACGCUGGCGGCAGGCUUAACACAUGCAAGUCGAACGCACCGCAAGGUGAGUGGCAGACGGGUGAGUAACACGUGGGGAUCUGCCCAAUGGUACGGAAUAGCUCCGGGAAACUGGAAUUAAUACCGUAUGAGCCCGCAAGGGGAAAGAUUUAUCGCCAUUGGAUGAACCCGCGUCGGAUUAGCUAGUUGGUGUGGUAAAGGCGCACCAAGGCGACGAUCCGUAGCUGGUCUGAGAGGAUGAUCAGCCACUGGGACUGAGACACGGCCCAGACUCCUACGGGAGGCAGCAGUGGGGAAUAUUGGACAAUGGGCGCAAGCCUGAUCCAGCCAUGCCGCGUGAGUGAUGAAGGCCUUAGGGUUGUAGAGCUCUUUCGCCGACGAAGAUAAUGACGGUAGUCGGAGAAGAAGCCCCGGCUAACUUCGUGCCAGCCGCCGCAGUAACAC